ACGUCUUCUUCAAGCGUUAUCCGGAGUUACUGGGAGUAAAGGGCGUGCAGGCGGUUGGCUAAGUUCGUUGUGAAAGCGACCAGGCUUAAACGGGCGAGGACAAUGAAGACUGGUCAUCUAGAGGACGGUAGAGGGGUGUGGAAUUCCGGGUGUAGUGGUGAAAUGCGUAGAGAUCCGGAGGAACACCAGAGGCGAAGGCGACACCCUGGGCCGUACCUGACGCUAAGACGCGACAGCACGGGGAGCGAACGG
rnacentral:rRNA from 1 species